ensembl:ncRNA ZK1131.2 ncRNA
UAAUUGUUGAUCAAAAGAGUAUCAUCUGUGUAAAUAAUUCCAAAAGAGGGGUCAAGAAAUGAAAGAAGUCGGUAGUAGUGAUGAGAGGUCUAAUCUCGAACAAACACGGAAAUCGGUAAGAGUGUAUCAGUCGAGUGGACGGCCCGGAACACGGGCUCAAACAUGCCGACGAAAGAAGUAGGAGGACUACUCUAUUUAAGGAGGCGUAUGUGUGGUUGUUUGCGUAAGUUACAGGGAGACAAGAUGGCUCUUGUUAUCAAGAGAUGUAUGACAC